AAGAGGAAUUUGUCCCCAAAGAGGAAAUAUUUCCAGAAUACCCUUAUGAACUGUAAAUUCAGGGCCCAAGUCUGCUUGAGUUCCUCAGUUGGAGUAAUUUAGUAAGUGUAAAUAGUCUCACUGGUUGGUACACGGCAGCAGGGUCAUGCAGGGUGCCUGUCUUAAUAAUCUUGUUUUGCUGCAGUUGUAAUAUGUUGAAUU